rnacentral:rRNA from 1 species
AGUGAACGCUGGCGGUAGGCCUAACACAUGCAAGUCGAACGGCAGCACAGUAAGAGCUUGCUCUUACGGGUGGCGAGUGGCGGACGGGUGAGGAAUACAUCGGAAUCUACUUUUUCGUGGGGGUUAAGGAAGGGAAACUUAAUUAAAGACCGCAACGACCGCAGGGUGGAAGGGGGGGGACUUUUGGACCUGGCGGGAUUGAAUUAGCGGCUUCGGAUUUGGUUGGUGGGGGGGUAAAGGCCCAACAGGGCGACGAGUCGUAGCCGGGCUGAGGGGAUGGUCAGCCACACUGGAACUGAGACACGGUCCAGACUCCUACGGGAGGCAGCAGUGGGGAAUAUUGGACAAUGGGCGCAAGCCUGAUCCAGCCAUACCGCGUGGGUGAAGAAGGCCUUCGGGUUGUAAAGCCCUUUUGUUGGGAAAGAAAAGCAGCAGGUUAAUACGCCGCUGUUCUGACGGUACCCAAAGAAGAAGCACCGGCUAACUUCGUG